rnacentral:lncRNA from 1 species
UGAUGUUGUGAUUUAUUUAGGGUAGUAGGGUUGACGGCAUGUGCCAUCAAGUUGUGAAAUCUUGACCUUUUGCAUGGGGCGCUUUCUCCCAAAGACCCAGCUAGGUUUGGGAUAUUCUCACAACUUUACAGUCAUAAUCAUGGUGUUUGUAUAUUAAUUACUGUCAUCAAUCAUGGAAUUUAGGUGCUGGUUCAGUAUUUUAAAUGGAAUUUCAUGGCGAAGGUGUCUUUGUAGAGUUGGAAGGAAGCUAGGAGGACUCGGGUGGUUGUCCUGAUAUGAGCAUCUAGACAUGAGACUCAUGUCAGG